rnacentral:rRNA from 1 species
UACGUAGGGGGCAAGCGUUGUCCGGAUUUCUUGGGCGUAAAGCGCGUGUAGGCGGCCCGGUAAGUCCGUUGUGAAAGUCCAGGGCUCAACCCUGGAAUGCCGAUGGAUACUGCCGGGCUAGAGUUCGGAAGAGGCGAGUGGAAUUCCUGGUGUAGCGGUGGAAUGCGCAGAUAUCAGGAGGAACACCUAUAGCGAAGGCAGCUCGCUGGGACGACACUGACGCUGAGACGCGAAAGCGUGGGGAGCGAACAGG